UACGUAGGGUGCGAGCGUUAAUCGGAAUUACUGGGCGUAAAGCGUACGUAGGCGGAUGAUUAAGUCAGGGGUGAAAUCCCGGGGCUCAACCUCGGAACUGCCUUUGAUACUGGUCAUCUUGAGUCCGGGAGAGGUGAGUGGAACUCCUAGUGUAGAGGUGAAAUUCGUAGAUAUUAGGAAGAACACCAGUGGCGAAGGCGGCUCACUGGCCCGGAACUGACGCUGAGGUACGAAAGCGUGGGGAGCAAACAGGG
rnacentral:rRNA from 1 species